UACCUAUAAUCUACAUAAAAAUAGUUUUUUGAGGGACACCUGGGUGGCUCAUUUGGUUGGGCGGCUGUCUUCAGCUCAGUUUAUAAUCCCAGGGUCCUGGGAUCGAGCCCUGCGUCCGUCGGGCUCCCUGCUCGGCGGGGAACCUGCUUCUCCCUCUCCCUCUGUCUGCUGCUCUGCCUGCUUGUGUUCUCUCUCUCUCUGUCAAAUAAAUAAAAUCUUAAAAAAAAAAAAGUUGUUUGAGAGUAUCAGAGAUUUCUAAGAAUAUAAAACAUCUUGAGAUCAGAAUACUUCAGAACCAUGGAAUAUAUGAUCUCUUACACACACACACACACAGGCACACUCACACAGACAUGCACACAUGCACACACACGCAGAAGGAACAAGUAAAUAUCUGCUGUUUUAUAUCCUGUAAUUGUUUCAUCUGUGAUAUUCUUUUCUCCCGGUGGGAUUGAGUGCACUUUGAAGGCAUGAGUCUUUUGUAUCUUAGGCUGAAAAAAGUAAGCUAAAUGUUAACCAGUUAAUUGAUGAGGAUGAAGCUCCAUCUCCACACAUUUGCAUGCUCUUGGAGGCAUCCAAAAUUUCAAAGGAGUUUCAGAUCUAAAUUUUAUCUGUAUGACAUUUAAUUUGAAUGGUUUGGUUGUUUCGUUAGUCAAAAAUGAUUAGUUUCUAACAUGUAGUGGACAUGUGUAAUUUUUUUUUAAAGAUUUUAUUUAUUUAUUUGACACAGAGAGAGACACAGCAAGAGGGGUGUGGGAGAGGGAGAAGCAGGUUUCCCACUGAGCAGGGACCCCGAUGCGGGGCUCGAUCCCAGGACCCUGGGAUCACGACCUGAGCUGAAAGCAGACGCUUAACAACUGAGCCACCCAGGCGCCCCGAUGUGUGUAAUUUUUAAGCUAAAUUAUAUAUUUUCUCAUUAAUUUGUGCAUGAUCUUUAUGUCAGAAUUGAUUCUUUUCUGGGGCACCUGGCUGGCUCAGUCAGUGUGACUCUUGAUCUCGAGGUCAUGAGUUUGAGCCCCAUAGUGGGUGUAGAGAUUACUUAAAAAAUAAAAUGUUAAGGCGCCAGAAGCAGCCCCGGCCACUGUACAGGGACCCGGCGGCCGGACCGCGGGGCCAGCGCAACCAUGCCGGUCACUGGCAAGAGUUUCUGCCAGCGCCCGGCCAACUCAGAGUUGGAGGAAGAUGAGCAGGAAUCAGAGGAGGUUCGAUUAAAACUAGAAGAGACCCGCGAGGUGCAAAACUUGAGGAAGAAGCCCAAUGGGGUGAGUGCUGUGGCCCUGCUGGUGGGAGAGAAGGUACAAGAAGAGACCACCCUAGGGGAUGAUCCCCUUCAGAUGAAGACAGGGCAGUGUGGUGGACAUGAAGAAACUGAAGGAAAGAGGCAAAAAUAAGAUCAGCGAAGAGGAAAACCUCCACCUGCAGACAUCAUUUUCUGCAGAAACCAACCGAAGGGAUGAGGAUGCUGACAUGAUGAAGUACAUUGAGACAGAGCUGAAGAAGAGGAAAGGGAUUGUAGAACACGAGGAACAGAAAGUCAAGCCGAAGAAUGCAGAGGACUGUCUUUACGAACUUCCUGAAAACAUCCGUGUUUCCUCAGCAAAGAAGACCAAAGAGAUGCUUUCCAACCAGAUGCUGAGCGGCAUCCCCGAGGUGGACCUAGGCAUCGAUGCUAAAAUAAAAAAUAUCAUUUCCAUGGAGGAUGCCAAGGCCCGUCUCCUGGCAGAGCAGCAGAACAAGAGGAAAAACAGUGAGACAUCUUUCGUGCCCAUGAACAUGGCCGUGAAUUACGUGCAGCACAACUGAUUUUAUCACAAGGAGCUCAAUGCCCCCAUAGAGAGAAACAAAAAAGAGCCCAAAGCCCGACCCUUAAGAGUGGGUGACAUGGAGAAGCCAGAGCCUGAGCGAUCCCCUUCUAACCGCAAGCGUCCUGCUAACGAGAAGGCCACCGACAACUAUCACUAUGAGAAGUUCAAGAAGAUGAACAGACGGUACUAAGGGUGGCGGAAGGGAGAAGUGCGGAAUGGGAUGUAAAUAGUGCUGUCCCUUCCAUACCCCUCCCCCGACCCCAACAAAACGCUUCCUGGACAGAAGUUUGCUUAUUUGCUAGCAGACCAUUCCAAAAACAGACUCUAUUAGCCCUGCUGCUUACCUGCUGGAUUUUUCAGGCACCGCAUUUUUAACCUUUUGAAACAAAACAAUGUGUGGUUUCCCUAUUUGAGGGCAAACUCUAUUCUUGUGAACAUUAUUAAAUCUUGUUUGUAAAUAUGUUGACUUUCUCUUAAUAUUGGCCCCAGGGCAGGAGGAAAUAGCUGUGUUCAGAGUGAGAUGAAACCCUUUAGAAUGUGCUGUUAAUUAUUAAUAUAUGCAAUCGUGUGUUCUACGUUCAAAUACCUGGAGUUCAGAAAUGCAUCCUGCACUGUUUAUGCUGGAUCCAGCUGACAGCAGAAAAAUCUAGGGUGGAAUCAAAGGGACACUGGCAUUUUCUGACUUUUACAAAGUUACCUAUUUCUUUUCAUUAAGAAAGAAAAAGUUUCUAUCAUUUUCAGCACUUAAGUAUUAAAUAUGAAACAAAUCCAAAAAAAUAAAUAAGUAAAAUGUUAAAAUUGCUUCUUUCCUAUUCAAAGAGUAGUUGUUGUAUUCUUUCUUUUAGUUCAGUACACAUAAAACAGGUUGUUCAGGGGCGCCUGGGUGACUCAGUCAUUAAGUGUCUGCCUUCGGCUCAGGUCAUGAUCCCAGGGUCCUGGGAUCGAGCCCCCGCAUCGGGCUCCCUGUUCGGCGGGAAGCCUGCUACUCCCUCUCCUGCUCCCCCUGCUUGUGUUCCCUCUCUCACUAUGUCUCUAUCUGUCAAAUAAAUAAAAUCUUUAAAAAAAAAAAAAAAAGGUUGUUCAGCCUCUAUUUGAUCUAAUAACUUGCGAUCUUAAAUUUUAACUUCCUAAAGAGCAAACUCCAUGUAUUUGAAAUUUGUUUUGAUCAAGUCUUGAUUGCUUGUCAUUCUGCAUGGAAUCCUGAAAUAUUGCUAACCCUGGAGUAUGUCAUUUGACUUACCUUUUGAACCAAUAACUCUUAAGAUCUAUUUAUUUAUUUUGGAGAGAGAGAGCACACGAACGAGCGAAUGGGGGGGAGGGGUAGAGGAAGAGGGAGAGAGAGAGAAUCCCAAGCAGACUCCCCGCUGAGUGCAGAGCCCUACACAGGGCUUGAUCCCACAACCCUGAGCUCAUGACCUGAGCUGAAAUCAACAGUCUGAUGCUUAACUGACUGAGCCACCCAGGUGCCCCCUGAGCCAAUAACUCUUAUUCAUAGUCUUUUGGCUCUUGUUUAUAUUUGCUUUUAGACAUUUCAUUUCUUCAGAAAUAUGUUACAAGGUAUUCUGAACUGAUUCCACAUAACAAGAAAACUUAAAUUCAGGGAUUUUUCUAUUUUUCUCCCAUGUAUCUUAGGUCAUUAUAUUUUUACGAUUCCUUGUUAGUAUUUACUCUUUAACUCAAAUCUCAAAUUCAUUUGACCGAAAGAGUUUCUAGGUAAUCUUGAAAAAUAUCUUCAGCUGUUUGUUUUAUACAUUUGUGCCUUUACUGAGAUAAUGUUAAAAUACUUCCUUUCACAUACACAGUCAUAAAUACACAUACAUACUACAUAAUACUUGUAUUUCGUAGUGUUGGUUCUGGAUGAGACUGUCACUUGCAGAUUUUCCUGUGGGAUAUAGAGGCUGGGAUAGAGAAUUUAACAUUGCUAGAACAUGAGAAUGGUUAUCUGUAAUGAGCUGCCAUAUCCAAGGGGUUGGAAACGAUGAAAUUUGCCAUUGUUAAAACUGUUCCUUUUAGAUGUUGUUACUUUUGAAGGAAUUACUUUUGGGUGUUUAUUCCGGUGAUAGUGACAUUAAUCAGGAUGUUGCUAAAACUUCUGUUUUGGAAUUACUUUAGCAUGGUGAGAGGUAAAAAUAAAGGUGGCCUAGCUCCUGUACACAGCGAUUCUCAGUGGCUAGUUAAAUACAAUUCCAUAUGUUGAGUUUUAUAAGAGGGUUGUAACCAAACUUGUGGGUUGUCAGAAGAGGGAGAGAACAAUUUGGGGGAAGUAGGGAAAGAAUGGUGCCAGGUUUCAUGGAAAGGAGUUGCAAUUCGAGCCAGGUAGUAUUUUGAAAGGAGAGAUUGAGGUGGGAAAACAGUCCAGGGUUAUGCUUCUUGAAUAAGGGCAUAGAGGUAAAAACAGCACAUCAUCGCCCUUGGGUUUCUCGUGUUCAGCACAAUGUCUGGCAUGUAACAGGUGCUUACACCAUACACAAAAAUUAACUCAGAGUGGACCAUAGCCCUUAAAUAGAAGAGCAAAUACUGUACAAUACUUAGAAGAAAAUAUAGGAGUAAAUCUUUGGCAACAAAAUAAAGACAGACAAAUUAGACUUCAUCAAAAUUUAAAACUCUUGGGCUUCAAAGGCCACCAUCAAGAAAGUGAAAGGAAAGCCCACAGGAUGGGAGAAAAUAUUUGCAAAUCUUAUAGCCGAUAAGGGACUACUUAGUAUUUAGAAUAUGUAAAGAAUUCUUAACAGCUCAGUCACAAAAAAGACAAAUAGUCCAGUUCUUAAAAAAGGGGUGAAUGUCGUGUAACCUGGUUCUGUAGCUUAUGUAUCUUACAUAGCUGUCCGGCCUCGGGCAGGUCGUUUUGCCUCUCCAGGCCUCAAUUGUCUCAUCUGCAAAACGGGAGUGACAGUAGAACCUACAACCCAGGGUUGUUGUCAGGAUUAAAUGAAUGAGUCCAGGUAGGAUCCUUGGCACACAGCAGGUGUUUAGUAAGUUUUAGCUACUACAGUUAUGCUGUGCAGUUCGUGUUUGGGAGAGAGAUUCUGGGACAACAGGAGUCGGUUCAGAAGAUGGAGAUGUCUCCGUGCCCUUGGGUGACGGGGAAAACUUCCUGCAGGAGAGGUAUGACAUCAGGUGAAGGGGGAGAGCUAACGGGAGCCACCAGGAACUGACCAUAGUUGAGCAGUGACAUCAGGAAGAAUCUUUAAUCUGUCUGGGAACACCUCAGUAGUUAUUUGGCACCAAAGGAUGAAUCUCAACUCUGAAGGGGGGCCCUCACUUUUCAGCAUGCUCCCUGAUCUUAGAAAUAUACCAGGGCUGAGGGUGUCCAAGAGCCCCUGAGAUGAACCAACCCAGAGUGACCACCAAGAGCAAAGGAGUGGCUCAUGUUGGCAUUUUUCUAGUUGGUCAGCCAGUUUUCCUGACUGCCAGACAUCCCACUAGGCCUUGGGUGAGGCAGUGAUUGGGAUGCUCACCAAUCCCAUCUCCUCUGCCUGAUUACACAGCUAAGCACUAUUUUCCGUCAUGCUCGCAUCUGGCGAGGUGCAGGAGCAUCAGACUAGCUCUAUCCAGUGGGAUAUAGGUGGAAGUGAUGUCACCACCCCCACCCCCGUGCCAUCUUCCACAUCUCUCUCAUCGCAUGCUAGCUGGAUGCAGGAAAUCUGGUGUGAGACUCCAGGGUCCCACAGUAUGGCAGUGCAUGGGCCUCUGAAUCCUCUCAAUGAAAGCCGGCUGGGUACCCUGUUGGACUGUGGUGCAAGAGAGCAGUAAAGCUUUUACUACAUUAAAAAAGAAAAUGGGCAAAGGAUCAGAAUAGACAUUUCUCCAAAGCAGACAAUACAAGUGACCAAUAAGCACAUCGAAAGAUGCUCAACAUCAUGGUCAGGAAGUGCAAAUUUCAGCCGCAGUGAAGUUUACACCACCAAGAUGACUGUCAUCAAAAGGCAGAAAAUCACAAGUGUUGGUGAGAGGGUGCAGAAAUUAGUAUUCUCAUUCAGCCCAUGGUAAAAAUGUAAAAUUGUGCAGCUGUUUUGGAAAACAACCUGCAGUCCCUCAGAAAGCUAAAGGUGAAAUAACCAUAUGACCAGCAUAUGGUAAUACUCCCAAAGAAUUGAGAACAGAAGUCCAUGUAAAACGUGAUUAUUCAUAGCACCUUUAUUCCUAAUAGCCAAAAAAGGGUGACAGUCCAAAUGUCCAUCAACUAAAUGGACAAAUCCAAGGUGGCUAUCCAUACAGUGGAAUAUUACUGAACAAUAAAAGGGGACGAAGUAAUGAUACGAGCUUCAACAUGGAUGAGCCUUGAAAAUGUUACACUAAGUUAAAGAAGCCAGUAACAAAAGGCUGCAUGUCAUUUAUAUGAAAGGUCCAGAGUAGGCACAUCUUACAGAGACAGAUCGCAGAUGGGUCGGACGGGGGCGUGAAGCGGAAUGAGGAGUGACUGCUGACGAGUACAGGUUUCGUUUGCGGAUGAUGAAGACGCUUUAAGACUAGGUAGCGGUGAGGUUGCACAACUCUCUGAAUAUACUAACACCAUUGAAUUGUACACUUGAAAUCAGUGAAAUAUAUGUUGUGUGAAUUUUAUCUUGAUGAAGCCGUUUUAAAAAAAGUAGUGCUUAGGGCGCCUGGGUGGCUCAGAUGGUUAAGCGUCUGCCUUCGGCUCAGGUCAUGAUCCCGGGGUCCUGGGAUCGAGUCCCGCAUCGGGCUCCUGGCUCAGCGGGGAGCCUCCUUCUCCCUCUGCUUCUCUCUCUCUCUCUCUCUCUCUCUGUCUCUCAUGAAUAAAUAAAUAAAAUCUUUAAAAAAAAAAAAGUAGUGCUUAAAUAAAAAAAAAAGGCAGUGCUUGGAGCACUAGGAGAAAAGAACUGUUUGUUGAAUAUUAGUAAUAGAUAGAUACCAGCUUGGCUGGCAGUGUGGCAUGAGGAUGACUGUAUGAGAAUAAAGUUCAUACUUUGAAAUAGUUAAUAUUUUCGAGGAGAGAAAAUGUUUCUUGAGCAGUGAUUUGACUAAAGCCUCUAGCAAGUGAGCAAGUCAGUUAGAUAUGCAACUGCAUAAAGGUGUGUAUUUUUCAGCCUGGCUUAUGAACAAAAAAGUACAAAACAAGCAAAAUACCCAUCAAUAGAGGACUGAUUAGAUAAAGUAUAAAUUCAUCCAGUCCACUAUUCUGCAGCCAUUUUUUAUAAAAAGUGAAUUCAAGCCAUAUGGGCUUAUAUGAACUAUAACACUUAAAUCACUAAAAAAAAAAAAAAAAAAAACAGAAAACUUUAUAGUGUAUAGGUUAUACAUACAUGUAUGUUUAAAAAUAGGCAUUUAGUUAUCCUGGAAAAAUGCAUAGGAAACUAGUAAAUAGUUACCUGUGGGGAGUCAAACUGAAGGCCCUCAGGGGAAGAGAACUUAUACUUUUUACGUUAUACUUUUCUUUACAGGUCCAGAUCUUGGAAUUUUUGCCAAGGACACCCAUAACUUACUUUUCCUUUCCUUCCCUCCUUCCUCCUUUCUUUUCUUCCUUUACUAAUUUUUUAAAAAAUUUAUUUAUUUGAGAAAGAGUGAGUGGGGUUGGGGAGGAGGGGCAGAGGGAGAGGGAGAAACCCAAGCAGACUCCCUGAUGAGCACGGAGCCUGACAUGCAGCUGGAUCUCACAACCCUGAGAUCAUAUGACCUGAGCCAAAAUCAAGAAUCGGCUGCUUAACGGACUAAGCCACCCAGGUGCCCCCUUCCUUUACUAUUUUCAGAUAACUUUAGACUUACAGAAGAGAUCUAAGAAAUUUCCAUAUACCCUUCCCCCAGCUUUCCCUUUUGUCAGUAUCUUACAUAACCACAGACCAUUGAUCAAAACUAGGAAAUUAACCUUGGUACCAUACUACUGACUAAAGUACAAAUCUCAUGCACAGUUUCCAGUUUUAUCCCUAAUGCCCUUAUUCUUUGCUAGGAUUCAGGCCAGAAUCACACGUUGCAUUUUGCUGUCCUGUCUCCUGAGUCUUGACUUGUCUUUCACGACCUUAACAUUUGUGAAGAGUAUUGCUUAUUUUGUAGAACAUACCUUGAUUUGGAUUUGUCUGGCAUUUUGUCCUGAUUAGAUGGACGUUCUGAAUUGCUGAGCAGGGAACCACAGAGGUGACUUGCCCUUCUCAGUGCAUCAUGUCAGGGAACACAUGACGUCAGUGUGUGUUACUGGUGGUGUUUACAUAAACGUUUUCCUUGACCACUUCACCGGGGUGAUGUCUGCUAAGAUUCUUUACUAUAAACGUGCUAAUUUUCCCUUUGUAAUUACUGUAUGUUUGGGGGAGAUAUUUUGAGACUAUGCCAGUAUCCUGUUUCUGCUUAAACAUUUUCCCACAAAUUUUGCCUCCAUUGAUCUUGUCCUCAUUAUAUAUUACUGAUUUAUUUGUGAUUUUCUAUUUGUCCCAUUCCUUCUACAUUUAUCGAGCACUUCUGCAAGGAAGAUCUGUCACUUCUCCUCAGUGUAUUUAUUUAUGCAGUUAUUUAUAUCUGUAUGGACUCAUAGAUAAUAAUUUUAUUCUUUGUCUUGUAACCCAGGGCUAUUGUUUUCUUGUUCAGGUUAUUCCAACUUUGGCCAUUGGGAGCUCUUUCGAGGUAUCUCCCCUGCCCUUUGAAUAUACUCCAACCUUUUUUUUUUUUUUUUUUUUUUUUUACACCUUUGAGACCCUCAGGAUGUUCUAACUCAUCAGGUAUUUCCCCUGCUCCAGCUCUAGGAUCAGCCAGAUCUUCAAGGAGGAUCAUGAAAUUUGAAUUAAGAUCUUUAUAGUUACUUCAUAAUGUAGAAACUGCUGUUAAAAAAAAAAAAUAGAAAGCCAAGUCUUCUAAAUAAGGUUGGUGAACAUCUCUAAAAGAAACAACUACUUUGGAGCGCCUGGGUGGCUCAGUUAAGCGUCUGCCUUUGGCUCAGGUCAUGAUCCCAGGGUCCUGGGAUCGAGCCCCACAUCAGGCUCUGCCUCAGCGGAGAGCCUACUUCUCCCUCUCCCUCUGCUGCUCCCUCUGCUUGUGCUCUCUCUCUGGCAAAUAAAUAAAUAAAAUCUUAGAAAAAAGAAAAGGAAAGAAAGAAACAACUGUUUUGAUCUCAUAUAGAUCUUAAGCCUCACACUGAUUAGGUCCUAGGAAGUUUCUUCCUAAGUACAAUUGAUUUUAAAAUUCAAAUAAAUAAAGCCUCUAGCAAGUGAGCAACCUCCCCUGCCACCACCACUUUAAUUAUAAACUGGGCCUGACUUUAACAUAAUCAGACUGGUUUUCUUGGUUGUAUUAUAACUUGGCUUUGGAUACACUUCUGAACUGCAAGUUUCAGAAAUGUUCUUAGGAUUCUAAGGACAAUAUUUAGUUGGAGGACUCCCCUCUUGUUUAAAAAAAAAAAAAUCUUCAUUCUUAAAAAGCACAACUCCAUUGAGGGAAAGAUUAUUGCCAUUUCUUUAUUCCUGUCUUGUUCUUAAGGAGUAUGGUAGAAUAUUCUUUUUAAGGAUUUUUUAAGAAAAAUUAUCAUCAAAAAUACUUAAAUAACUCCUAUGUUCUUUCCUCUGGCUUAUAAAAGGAAAUGCGAUGCAUUUGCAUUGAAAUCUGGCAAUGAUUAAUUAACUUUCUAAGCAAAGUAUAAAGAGUACAGAAAACCCAUGCAUAUUAAGUUCAGUAGCCCUGUGUGAUAGAUUUGGAAAAAUCAGUGAUCACGGUGUUUUCCCCUUCCCGUUGUACUGAAAAAAUUCUCACCUGCUGCUGUGCAGAGCUUAUAUGAAAAUACCUUUUGCUGGCAAGUCUCCAAAUUUUCUUUUAUCUAUUUAAGAAAUCCUAAUUCUAAUUUUCUGUUUGCUCAGAUUUUUAUUGUUUUUCUCUACUUCUCCUUUCUGCUUGAAUUGGUAGUUCCGAAUAGGAAGAAAAGAAGUCUACUAUUUGGAAUUUUCUUUGAUAUAUCCUUGAUUUACAUGGCAAAUAGAAAGCAGCUGUCUAUUUAAGCAUCUAAUUCUUGAAACCAUAGUCCCCUCAAGCGUCAUCUGGAAAUAAUGUAGCUUGUAAAACAAAGCUAAGAAGAAAAGGCAAUGUUUGUUUUAUGUGGGAUGAAUGAUUUCUGUUGGGGUCCUUUAAUUCGGCUAUUAUGAGGGUUAUUAAAAAGCAGUAUUACAAAAGAGGUUUAAAUGAAAAGAAUUUUUUUGAGCUGGUAUCUUAUUAUUACAGUUGAUUAUAGUCAAAGCUGCAAAUGUUUUAUAAAUGGCACUUUAUUUUUGUUUCUCUAAAUAAGACCCCAAAAAACCAGUAAUCUUGCUCAUUGUAUGAGUGGAAAUUCAACUCUUUCCUUAGUUGAUUAAAUUUAUGGAAACAAAUUAUAUUUGAGAAUUCAGCUCUGCCUGUUUUUCUAGAAAUUUCAUGGAUUUCUGGUAAAUUCUUAAGAAUCCUCACAGGAACAUUUGAGGAUCACCUUACAAAUGGAAGGACGGACAUGAAAGUGUCAGAGUUUAUCUAGACUUCAACUAUUAGAAGAUUCCAUUAACACCAGAGAGAGUUGAGCCUAAAUUAUUUAUUAAUUUAUUCAUGGAUUACUUGAGUUUUUGAGAUGUGAAUUUGGAGAUCUCAGUCAUGAGAAAUGGUACCUGUAGGGAAGUAGAAAGGCAAGUUAAUUUGGGCUUUGACCGUUGUUAGAGGCUUUUUCAUGAUUGGAAUGUGUUGGUUUUCUUCAUUUGGUAAUACUGCAAAGUAGUAUUUUUGGAAAGUUGACCUAUAAGAACUAAAUUCAGUCCUUAGAUGUACUUGGCACCAGGGAAAUGAAAUUACUUAGCAUGUUUGUUUAAUAAUCAAUGGGGCAUGGUUAAUUAUUUUCACUCAUGUGAGGCCCCUGUAAUCUUUCACUUGGUAUCUCCUGUGACCUCAAGUUUGCAUUUUGAUUGAGGUCAUGAGGAGAGUAUUGUGUUGCUCUCAAACCUAUCUUUUUUCCUGGAAUGUGCAAUGCCAGCUGACCGUUUUAGUGAUUGAAUUUUAUUUUUAUUUUUUAUUUAUUUAUUUUUUUUAAAGAUUUUUUUUUAUUUAUUUGAGAGAGAGAGAAUGAGAGACAGAGAGCAUGAGAGGGAGGAGGGUCAGAGGGAGAAGCAGACUCCCCGCCGAGCAGGGAGCCUGAUGUGGGACUCGAUCCCGGGACUCCAGGAUCAUGACCUGAGCCGAAGGCAGUCGCUUAACCGACUGAGCCACCCAGGCGCCCUAGUGAUUGAAUUAAUGACAUCCUUUUUAGGGUCAUAUUCUAAGGCUAAAAGGUACUGAGCCUUUAAUAAUUAAGGACCAUUUCUCUUAUGAAGUUGUUUCAUACUGGUCAUUAAUUCAGAUAAGAGUAAGAGUAACUUCUGUUUCAUUAUGAGUAGUGCUUCUGCUCAUUAACCAGUUCCAAGUACUAAAUUUCCCAUACCCAUUGUGAAUGCUCCAUCAUAUCAUUACUAAUAUUCCCCAGGUUAACAGUUAGUAGUAACAGUUACUAAAGAGUAAUGCAUGCAUAAACAAACUCCAUAUGGUUCUUGAAAUUCAUUAUUCUUUCAUCGCACAUGUUGUUAGCUACUACUUUUUUUAGGUACUUCUCUCUGCCCUGUGAAGAUAUCAGGAAAGAUAAAAAUCUCUGCCCUCGUGAAGCUAUGUUCUAAUGAAGAGAGAUGUAUAAUGACUGCCUGCACAGGUGAAUGAAUGAAUGAAAUGUUAGAAGGUCCCAUGGGAAAAUGAAGCAGGAUGAAGGGAUGGAGAGUGCUGGCAAUGGGAAGUUAGUAGUGUAAAUGGGUGGACAGUGAAGUGCUUGCCUCAUUGAGAAGGUAACAUUUGGGGCGCCUGGAUGACUCAGUUGGUAAGCAUCUGCCUUCGGCUCGGGUCAUGAUCCCAGGAACCUGCCCAGCGGGGAGCCCCACAUCAGGCUCCCUGCUCAGUGGGGAGCCUGCUUCUCCCUCUCCCUCUGCUGCUCCCCCUACUUGUUCUCUCUCUCCCUUCUUCUCUCUCUCCGUAAAAUAAAUAAAUAAGAUCUUAAAAAAGACAAGGUAACAUUUGAGCAAAGACAAGUAAUGUGGCUAUGCAGAAGACAUGUUCUAGCAAGAUGGAACAGGGAGUACAGAGGGCUUGAGGCAGGAGCCUCUAUCUCGAAUAAAUAAAAUCUUUAAAAAAAAAAAUUGUGGCUGGGAAGGAGAUGAUCUGGAUCAUACUGAUAAUCAUCUUAAACCACUGCUGAUUGAAGAGUAAUCCAGAAAAGUUUUAGAUAGAGCAAUAGCCUAGGAAUUAGAAGACCUGCGCUCUGUGUUUUUUACCUUUAAUUCGCUAUGAGCUUGGGCAACUUAUUUCACCAUCCUGACCCUUGAUUUCUUUGCCUUUAAAAUAUAUCUUGAAGUAGGGGAGGCUGGGGUGGCUCGGUCAGUUGAGCAACCAACUCUUGGUUUUAGCUCGGCUUGUGAUCUCAGGGGUCCUGAGAUCGAGCCCUCUGUUGGGCUCUGUGCUCAGCGGGGUGUCUGCUUGAGAUUCUCUCUCUCCCCCUCCUCUGCUCUUACACGCACGCAGUCUCUCACUCUCUAAAAUAAAUAAAUAAAUCUUUAAAAAAAAAAUCUGUCUUGAAGUAGAUAUUUUAGUGUGAUUUCCUUAACAUUAGCAUUCUCUGGUUCCAUUAUUUCCAUGAGGAUACACUGGGUAGAUAGAAAGGGAUUUGUAUAGGACUGUUGGAACGCAUACAAGAGAGUGGGUACAGACUACCAAGAGCUACCAGAUCCCUGUAGUGUGUGUGGGAGGAACCAGAAGAACCCAAAGAGAUGUCUGAGAGAUCUGAGAACAGGAGGACAGCCAGAAGGGACUCACUGGAAAGACCAGUUUGAGAAAAGCAACUGAAACUGUUAGGGGUUUUUGCAUUCUCUAAUUCAUGGUUGAGUGUAAGGCAUCUGCUGUAAGAUCUGAAGGAGUUCUAGACUGUGGGCCCUAUGAACUUUUAAAACUAAACAGCUGUAGCUUUCUUCUAGGACCAAGCCUCACACUGAGGUGAAGCUACUAGAAAUACAGCCCACAGAGGUGGUCAGGGACACUAAGCAAAGAAAAAGUUCAGAUAAAUGUAGGGUUGGAGAAGAGAACCAGGGGAUCCCAAAAAGGGCAUGGGUAUAUUUACGAACACUUCACAGAAACAAAGAAAAGGUAGCUCUCGAGUCCUGAGACUAGAAAGUGCUACCUUGACCCACUCCUUCCUCCUAAAGUGUUAAGGAAACCAACUUUGGGGGCGCCUGGGUAGCUCAGUCAGUUCGGCGUCUGCCUUUGGCUCCGGUCAUGCAUGAUCCUGGUCCUGGGAUCAAGCCCCGCAUCGGGCUCCCUGCUCAACAGGGAGUCGACUUCUCCCUCUGCCCCUCCCCCAUGCUCAUGCAUGCUCUCUCUCUCUCUCUCUCGAAUAAAUAAAAUCUUUAAAAAAAAAAAAACUAACUUCAUUAGAAAUGAGCAAAAGAGAAAUGUCAGUCAAAUCCAGUGCAAAGGUAGAAGAUAAAACAGAAUAAGGAGAACAAGAAUAUCUGUACUGAUAAUGAAAGCAUGUGAUGUACCCAUAAAAUAGAUGAAAACUAUUAAAUAACUUUUCAGAAUAACUAAAAGAAACUAAGAAAAUGACACAAGAUAAAACAGAGGCGCCUAAAAAACAAAAAAAAAAAAACAGGUGCCGAGCUGGCUCAGUCAGUGGAGUGUGUGGCUCUUGAUCUCGGGGUCGUGAGUUCGAGCCCCACGUUGGGUGUAGAGCUUACUUAAAAAAAAAAAAAGGUAAAACAGAAAAACAUAAAUCAGAAUUAUUAAAAAAGGGAUAAUUUUUUUCUAAAUAAAAUAAUCAUUUUAGAAAUGUCAGCUAUACCCAAGUAUUUACUAAGUAAAUAAAUAUAAUGGCUUAAGAGUAAUAGAAUGUGAAAAGAUGAAAAACUUGAAAGCAAAAAGGAAUGAAAGAAAAAGGCUUUGAGAGACAUUGACUAAAGAAUAUAGGCAAAGAUCCAACAACUAUAAAAUAGGAAUCCCUAAAAAAAGAGGAAAAAUACUAAAAGCUAUACUUCAAGAAAACUUUCCUUAAAUUAAGAAGAAGAAAAAAGACUCAAAACUGCAUGUGGAAAGAGCAUACUCUAUGCUUUGGACAACCAAUACCAACACAGAGAUAAAGAGAAAGCAAUCAAGGGAUAGCCAGGCAGAAAGACCAGGGCACCUUAAAGGGAAGAAAAUCAAACUAUCAAUAGACUUUGACAGCAGUGUUUUAGGCCAGAAGAAGAUGGAAUUACAUAUUGAAGAUACUCAAAGAAAGCACAUAUGAGCCAGGGGUUUUAUAUCCCACCAAGCUGACUUCCAAGUAUAACAGACAUAGACAAUCUUACUAAAUCUAGGAACUCAAAAUAUUGUAUCCUUCCUAAUAAGGACCAUCUCCCACUACUCUCUCUGAGUGGUGGUAAGCAAAGGUUUUUGAUAAAGAGCCAGAGAAUAAAUGUUUUAGACUUUGUAGGACACAUGCUAGUCUCUGUUGCCUAUCUUUGUAUGGAGAUUUAGUUUUUGUUUUUACUGGUGUAUACCCUUUAAAAAUGUAAAAACCAUUCUUAGCUCAAAAGGUCGUAUUAAAAUUGGCCACAAACACAAUUUGGCCAUGGUUCAAAGUUUGCCAACCUUUGUAAUAGAGAAAGAGCUUUAGACAACCACGAUGAUUGGACAGUCACAAAGGCUGGUGGUGAGCAUUAUCUACAUUUUUAUUAGUAGAACACUAAAUAAUACACCUAAAGGAGCAAGUAUAGUAAGUAAAGGCUGUAUUUCUAACAAUGGGGAUACAACUCUUAAAAUAUGGAGAGGAAAAUGGGGAGAAAUGUGAAAAGUAGAAUAAACUUGCUGAUUAUAGUUAACUGGGAGUUAAAGGAUAUUAUUUCAGGUCAGAUCCUGGGAGAGAAGUAGGAAGUAAAAGAAAUUAAUUAGCUAAUUUCAGUAUUGCUUAUAGUAGUGAACCAAUAGGAAAUGACAAAAAAUAAGAGAAAUUAUAUAAAGUUACUCAUAUAAAGAUUACCAUUAGAAUAAAAAUACAAACUUCCUAAAUACCAAAAAAUAUGAUUAAAAAUCAAAAUAUAAAAAAGCAAACAAAAUAGACACAUAUCAAAAGUUUAUUUAUUGAAAAGACUUAGAUACAUAUGAAUAUAACAUAAAAUUAUAUGAGAAUACUGAAACCAACCAAACUGAUCUUUAAAGCUCCAUCAACAAUAACUGGUUGAAUAACCUUCGGUGCAUUCACACAAUAACGUACUAUGCAGCUGUAAAAAUGAAUGAGAAAUAUUUCUAUAUGAAACUGUGUGCCACCACAUAAUCAUCCUCAGGAUAGGUUGUUGAUGUCCAUUUGUAUCUGUUUAUAUUUGAAAAAAACAGUGGGGGUGCCUGGCUGGUUCGGUCAGUAGAGCAUGUGACUCUUGAUCUUGGGUCCGUGAGUUCAAGCCCCACGUUGGGGUAGAGUUUUUAAGAAAAAAAAAAAAGGAAGGUAAACUAUAAAAAAAAAAAGUCUCUUUGAACAC